rnacentral:misc_RNA from 1 species
UAAUAAGUGUUUUAUGCGCACUUUUUAAUCCAUAUCCACCUUGUGUGCAAAUGUCGGUCGAUCUUCUUUUUUGAGGAUCGACCAAACAUCAACCUUUAUUUUUUAACUCUUGUCUGAAAAAAUAUUAUGAAUAAACAAUUCAAAAUA